rnacentral:piRNA from 1 species
UAGAGAUUGUCUUAGAAAGAGGCGUUACCUCU